UCUGAUUUGGUGAGAAAUGGCUGGUUGGUGUUGGAGAAGCUUCUUUCAUAAGUCUUGCAGGUCCAUUUAUUGACGACAAUGCUCCCAUUUCUCAGAGAACUGCCUGGCUUGCAACAUUUUAUAUGUGCAUACCCACUGGAAUUGCUGUUGGAUAUGUUUAUGGUGGACUGGUUGGGGAACAUCUUAACUGGAGCUAUGCAUUCUGGGGAGAGGCACUGUUAAUGUUACCAUUUGCUGUUUUUGGCUUUGUAGUGAAACCAUUGCAGUUGAAAGGUUUUUCUUGUGUUGAAUCAAAAAAAGAAUCAACACCUGUGGAGACAAUUUCUGCUGUAACUGAUG